rnacentral:misc_RNA from 1 species
UGGAUAUUGAUCCUCGGCAAUACGAAGAUAUUGCUGUCAAUGACAAUGAUGUUCACAGCAUUGUCAUGUCAUAUCUCGCACAUAGCUGCUUUACAGACACAUUGGAAUCAUUUACUACCUCCAUGGGCAUGAAUCAGACUGCGAAUCUGGAGGAUAUGGAGAAGAGAAAAAGGAUUUAUCAUUUGGCAUUAGAGGGAAGUGUUUUGAAGGCCAUUGAAAUCACAGAUCAAUUCGCUCCUGACUUAUUAGAGA